ensembl:lncRNA FAM86B3P family with sequence similarity 86, member A pseudogene
ACAUCAUGACGCCCGAGGAGAACGCGGGUACCAAACUCUUGCUGCAGGGUUUUGAGAGCCGCUUCCUAGUGGCGCGCACACUGCGCUCCUUCCCCUGGCAGGUGGGCGGCGGGGCGAGCGGAGAGGCCCGCGGGGCUCGCGGAGUCCAGGGGCAGACGGGAUGGGUCUCCGUGCUGAAACCCCCGGCGCUCCUGCCACAGCUUAGAGGCAAAGUUAAGAGACUCAUCAGAUUCUGAGCUGCUGCAGGAUAUUUUGCAGAAGACUGUGAGGCAUCCUGUGUGUGUGAAGCACCCGCCGUCAGUCAAGUAUGCCUGGUGCUUUCUCUCAGAACUCAUCAAAAAGCCCUCGGGAGGCUCGGUCACACUCUCCGAAAGCAUGGCCAUCAUCUCCCACAGCACCACGGGUCUGGUCACAUGGGAUGCCGCCCUCUACAUUGCAGAAUGGGCCAUCGAGAACCCGGCAGCCUUCACUCACAGAUGUGCUGUAUUGCCCAGAAGCCAUUGUGUCACUGGUCAGGGUCCUGCGGAGGCUGGCUGCCUGCCGGGAGCACCAGCGGGCUUCUGAGGUCUACGUGGCCUUCGCUGUCCGCAAUUGAGAGACGUGCCAGCUGUUCACCACCGAGCUAGACUCUCGCUCUGUCACCCAGGCUGGAAUGCAAUGGCGUGAUCUCAGCUCACUGCAACCUCUGCCUCCCAGGUUGAAGUAAUUCUAGUGCGUCAGCCUCCCAAGUAGCUGGGAUUACAGGUGCCCACCACCAUACCUAGCUAAGUUUUGUAUUUUUAGUAGAGACACUUUUCGCCCUGUUGGCCAGGUUGGUCUCGAACUCCGGACCUCAGGUGAUCUGCCUGCCUCGGCCUCCCAGAGUUCUAGGAUUACAGGUGUGAGCCACCAUGCCCAUUCAGAAAAAAAUUUUUAAAUAAACAAUAGCCAGAGUCCCCUGGUCAGGUGGAGAAAGUGCACUGCUCUGGCAGGGAGGCCCCCAGCCUCUGUGAGAUACUCUCCUGGAGGGCGCAUUUCAGCCUAAGGGCCU